GGAAUAUGGCUAUAGAGAUGAUGAUCGGUAUGGCAGAUAUGGGGAUUCAAACAGUCGUGAUGGAGAUCGUUAUGGCAGAGAUUAUGAAGACCGCUACGGCAGAGAUGGUGACAGGGAUGAUGACUACCGAGGUAGAAGUAGAAGUGUUGAUGAUUAUCAAUAUGGCACAAGAUCUAGGAGCUCUGAUAGAGACCGUGCUUUUGAUGAGGAUGGUGCUUCUUCUCGGUAUGCACUUAUAUACUUUUGAAUUUUGAAACCUUUUUGUUGCUAUGUUCUUCUUGGAAACAUAUUAAUGUUGAUUUAAUUAUGUUAACCUGGUCUCAAUUUUUUGUUGAAGUAAUUAAUUUUCCCUUUCUUUAUGGGUAUCAUGAAAACCAUACAAAAUAGGUGUAUAUAUUAAUAGUUUGUGUUGCACUAGAGUAGGAUUCUUAAAUGGUGCAUUCACUUGGUAAUUUUCAAUGCAACAUUUCUAUCCAAAUGAGGUUUUGGUUUUCAUUUCACCAAGUCAUGGAAGAUUUUAUAGUUAUGAUCCUUCCUUGUCAAUUUCAAGCAUACUGCUCAUACUUUCGUGGUAGGCUUGAGACAGAAUGUAAUUAGCAUGACUAUCAUCUCUGCAGGGGCAGUGGUGAUAGAGCUGAUGAUCACUCUCAAGAUGGAAGGUAGCCAUGAGUGGAUGCAGUCAAAACUUGUAUUAGUUGAUAUAUAUAUUUUCUCAAAGGAGAUCACAGCCUAGGAAUAAAAGAAGAGAUUGCAAGUGCUGAGAUUCAAACUCUACACUUGUUGGAUGCCACCUCUUAUGGGUGUCUGCAUGAACCAACUAGGCUAACCUUUGAUUCUAGUUGAUCAAAUUUUUUAUUCGAUUGGUUUCUUGUUUCUGAAAUUUUCUGAAUAUAUAUAUUUUGUUCAGGCGGCAUGAGCGGAAACAAUCUGAACAAAAUAUUGGUGCUCCUCCUAGUUAUGAAGAAGCAGUAACUGAGACUCAGAGUCCUGUCCGUAGCGAAAGGUAUUGCUUUUCACCUUAAACUCUAGAGACAUCAGACAUGUUGCUUGGAACUGUGUUUUGGUUUGUUGCUGCAUUCUGAAAAGAUGUUUGAUAAUAGGGUUGGCCAAACUUCUGUAGCAGCUGCUCCUCCUCCUCCUCCUACCAAUAAUCCUAACCAAGCAGCCUCUGAUCUUAGUAACUCAGCUUCUCCUCCAAAUCAACAAGCAGAGGCUUUUGAUGAAUUUGAUCCCCGUGGUUCAUUUUCAGGUAUAAAAUUCUAUAUAAAUUCUAUGGUUUCUAUGUUCCAAUUGCAUUACCUGGAUGGUCAUUGUUUAUUGCUUUGAUGUGCUGGUCUUUUGACUUGAACUAUCAUCAUGCAAAGUGUAAUUUUCUGAGUUGUCUAAAUAUUAAGUUUGACAUGCUCUGUUGCUUCACAUUCCAUGCUAUUUUUAAAUUUUUUUUUUGUGGUAGUUUUUAGUGUAUUUUAUAUCUGCAAAAUGUAUAUUUCUUGCCAAAUUGCGGAUAUUACUUUCUGGGGAGGUAAGCCUUUUGCAGUUGGUUAUCUGGUAGUGACAGUUUUAGUGUUUUGAUGACUUCUUAUUCAAUUUUGUGCUAUGUUUUCUCAAUCCAUAUGAAAUUACUGGUUGGAGUUUCAUAUGAUUGCAUGGAACUUAGUUUGGAAUCUUUUGAUGCCAUUCCAUUUAUCCCUUGUAACUUGAACUUAUUAGUUCAUCUUUUGCUCAUCAAUUAUAGCUGCCCCAACUCCUGCUCCUGCUCCUGCUCCUGCUGCUGUUCCCACUGCCACAGCUGUCCCUGCUACUGCUGUUCCCACUGCUUCGACUAAUGCUGAAAUAGACUUGCUGGAUGCUCUUUCAGAUUCAUUUGCCAUUGUGCCAGUUACACCUGAAAUCCCUGCUACUGAGGUUGAUGCCCCUGCAAACUCUGGUGCUAUGCCCACCUUUGCUGCUAAUCAGCCGGCAUCUAAUUUUGGAAAUCAGGUAACAUGGUCCAUUUAAUAUUGAGGGAUCAUAUACAAGGAUUUCAUUAAACCUGUCUGCAAUAUGUCUAUUUAUGGUACAACGAAUUUGGAUAAGCUGUUCUGUUGUUGCCUAAUGUGUUUCAUUUUUUCUUUCAAAGUUGUAUAUUUGAAAAGCACCUAAAAAAAAUUGAUAGUUAAAAAUGAAUGAAUUAUUGAAAUCCUGUGUACAAUAGAAAGGGUAGCAUAAAGGUAUUAGGGUGAAUUUGUUGCCAUACUAAAAUUUUUAGGGGAUAUUGUUCCUGAUUCAGGGUUUUGAUGAUCCAUUUGGUGAUAAUCCUUUUAAAGCUGUCGCUUCAACUGACUCUGCCCCAGCUGUACGACAAAUUUCCACUUCCAUGCCUACUUUCCAGCCUGCUACAAACCAAAAUGAUGUAGCUCCUCAGCCACCUUCUGCAAGUUCCGAGACUGUCACAAAUUUUGACUUUGGGAACUCAUUCUCUGCAAAUGCUUACUCUGCACCCAAUAGCACAAACUCCCAGUUUCUUCCUCAAGAAAUGUCAACUCAAAAUCAGGGAAGUGCUUAUAGCCAAACAACACAGCCAGGUAUCUAUGGUCAACAGGCACAAUCAAGUGCUAAUAUGUACAGCCAACCGACACAGCCAAGUGCUAAUCCAUACGGCCAACCUGCACAGCCUGGUGCUAACGCAUAUGACCAAGUUGGACAACCUAGUUCUAAUGCAUAUACCCAAUCUGUGCAGCCGAGUGUUAACCUUUAUAGCCAACCGCCACAGCUGGGUGCUAAUCCCUACAGCCAACCUGCACAGUUUAACUCUGGGAACCUCUCACGGCAGGGUUCUCUUGUUCCAGUUUCUUCACAGGGUGCUCACCAGAUCACAAAUUCACCCGCUGUACAAAAUAAUAAUGAUUUCCUAAGUGGCUUAAUUUCAGAACCAGGGUCAAAGCCAGCACAGACAGUCACUCCCACAUCAACAGGAGCACUUGCUAUAGUUCCACAACCCUCAAAGGAUAAAUUUGAGCUUAAGUCGGCGGUUUGGGCUGAUACAUUAAGCAGAGGAUUGGUGAAUUUGAACAUAUCUGGACGUAAGUAAACAUUCUUCUUCUCUAAAAAUUGUCAUCAAGUAUGUCCUUUCUGCAUGAUCUAACUUUAUUGUUUUCGGUAUGCAGCUAAAACAAAUCCGUUGGCUGAUAUUGGAGUCGACUUCGAUGCUCUUAAUCGGAAGGAAAAAAGGAUGGAAAAACCUGCCCCAAAUGCAGUGACAUCUACAGUUACAAUGGGUAAAGCAAUGGGAUCUGGGUCUGGGAUUGGUCGUUCUGGUGCUACCACUCUUAGACCUCCCGCAAAUCCUAUGAUGGGUUCUAGUAUGGGUAGCAUGGGCAUGGGAAUGGGUGGUGGACCUGUUGGAGGCAUGGGAAUGGGAGGAGGCUAUGGUGGUAUGAAUCAACAACCAAUGGGCAUGGGGAUGGGGAUGGGGAUGAACAACAUGGGCAUGAAUCCAGGCAUGGGGAUGAAUAUGGGAAUGGGACAAAGACCCCAAAUGCAAGGAAUGCCUGGCGGUUAUAACCCUAUGAUGGGAUCUGGAGGCUAUUCUCAACAGCCAUACGGUGGUGGUUAUCGAUGAGAAUGGAUUCCCAUCCCAAAGAAGAGGAGUAAGGAAAUUACAUACAAGGCUGUGAUAUAAGGGUAAAAAUGAGAUGGGAAAAUAGCUAAAACAUUAGAUGUGGGGAAUGGAAUCCCAAAGUAGAAGCAGUAGAGUCGCACAUUUGUGUUGGCAGAUCGGAACCAUGUUUUUUAUUCAUAUAAUUGUCAUUCUUGGUUAAGCUAUUGCAGUGUUUGGGCCAUAAUCACUCCUCCCAUUGAUUACUGGUUUGAGCUGUUGUGAAAUUGUGUGGAUGAUGAUGACCUUUCUCGGCUUUGCAUUUUUUGUCUUAAUAUUCUUCCCUAUAAUAUAUAUAUUUUUUAUGGUAAAAAAAAUAAACUAAUCCUUCAAUUUUAUUUGAAACUGUAGUAAUUUCACUUUAUCUGUUACAGAAGCAGCAAUAGCUAGAUUGACGAAGCCUGUUGAAUUUUUUCUUUUCAAAAUUAUUUGCUAAGGUAUGAUGAAGCUUCAUUUCUGUAAUUAAGGUCCAAUAUCUUACUUUAUUAAUUUUUUUAAUCAAUUUCUGCAAUAAAAUUUUAAUAUGCAAUCCAUUAGAAAUAUGUUUGUGUUUUUUUGAAAGAGACAAGUCCCUGUUACUUGAAAUAUUCGUGUUCUUUAUCAAAUACAUAGAGCUGAAGCAUCCACAACAAAUACAUAAUCAAAUGCUAAACCUAAUUUGAAUGUGCAGCAAAAGAGAGAGAAUUUUAAAUAAAGUUGUAUUUUCAAGUAAAUUUAUAUAAAGAAACAAAGAAAAGCAUUCAAAAAAAAAAAUAAAAAAUCUAAAAUCAACCAUCAAACAUCACAAGUUUCAGCUUCACAUUAUUACAUGACUUCUAUUUAAAACUUAAAUGGUCAGAAAAAUUAAAGUACAAUGACAACAACUAACAUCCCAAGUAACAAGAUAAAGAUCAGAUCCUGUUUUUCAGUCUUAGAGUUUUCUUGUGUUGGAACUAAGAACAAAGAUGAAUGAAAAAUAACAGAAGCUUGAGCUUGAAGGCUCGAUGGCUUGCUGAGCAAACAAAACAGAAUCGGGCUUGAAAGACAAGAGAAAACAAGAAAAGAGAGUUUUUUAUGAUGAAUCUUUGAUGAAUUUUUCAUUAACUUGAAAGAUGGCAUAUUGCCAAUACAUAUACCAGACAAAAGCUGGUCAAGAUGAAACAAAGUUACCUAAACAUCUACCUAACUCCACUAAGUAGCAUUGUAACUUGUUAAACAAAACUUGCACACUUGGUAAAGCUGAUUUAUCAGCUCAAACAUCAACAAAUUACAUCAAGUACAUUAACAAAUUAGUUCUAAUCUAACUAAGUUACUAUCAUUUGAAAGUAACAAAAUGAACAGCAGCAUGAACUUCAGCUGCAACUGCUUGGCUCGGGCAACUUCUCUGCUUCUUGUCUGCAUGCAGGCCAGCUUCAACAGUUUCAUUUUUUCUUCUAAAGUUGUAUAUUUGAAAAGCGUCUAAAACAAAAUUGAUAGUUAAAAAGGAAUGAAUUAUUGAAAUCCUGUGUACAAUAGAAAGGGUAGCAUAAAGGUAUUAGGGUGAAUUUGUUGCCAUACUAAAAUUUUUAGGGGAUAUUGUUCCUGAUUCAGGAUUUUGAUGAUCCAUUUGGUGAUAAUCCUUUUAAAGCUGUCCCUUCAACUGACUCUGCUCCAGCUGUACAACAAAUUUCCACUUCCAUGCCUACUUUCCAGCCUGCUACAAACCAAAAUGAAGUAGCUCCUCAGCCACCUUCUGCAAGUUCCAAGACAGUCACAAAUUUUGACUUUGGGAACUCAUUCUCUGCAAAUGCUUAUUCUGCACCCAAUGGCGCAAACUCCCAGUUUCUUCCUCAAGAAAUGUCAACUCAAAAUCGGGGAACUGCUUAUAGCCAAACAACACAGCCAGGUAUCUAUGGUCAACAGGCACAAUCAAGUGCUAAUAUGUACAGCCAACCGACACAGCCAAGUGCUAAUCCAUAUGGCCAACCUGCACAGCCUGGUGCUAACGCAUAUGACCAAGUUGGACAACCUAGUUCUAAUGCAUAUAGCCAAUCUGUGCAGCCGAGUGUUAAUCCUUAUAGCCAACCGCCACAGGCAGGUGCUAAUCCCUACAGCCAACCUGCACGGUUUAACUCUGGGAACCUAUCACGGCAGGGUUCUCUUGUUCCAGUUUCUUCACAGGGUGCUCACCAGAUCACAAAUUCACCCGCUGUACAAAAUAAUAAUGAUUUCCUAAGUGGCUUAAUUUCAGAACCAGGGUCAAAGCCAGCACAGACGGUCACUCCCACAUCAAUGGGAGCACUUGCUAUAGUUCCACAACCCUCAAAGGAUAAAUUCGAGCUUAAGUCGGCGG
rnacentral:lncRNA from 1 species